UGAGGAAUUUUGCGCAAUGGGGGAAACCCUGACGCAGCAACGCCGCGUGGGUGAUGAAGGCCUUCGGGUCGUAAAGCCCUGUCGGGCGGGAAGAACGUCCCUUCGGGGAAUGACGGUACCGCCAGAGGAAGCACCGGCUAACUCCGUGCCAGCAGCCGCGGUAAUACGGAGGGUGCAAGCGUUAUUCGGAAUUACUGGGCGUAAAGGGCGUGCAGGCGGGAGAGCAAGUCUGAUGUGAAAGCCCGGGGCUUAACCCCGGAAGGGCAUUGGAAACUGCUUUUCUUGAGUUCUGGAGAGGAAGGGAGAAUUCCCGGUGUAGAGGUGAAAUUCGUAGAGAUCGGGAGGAACAUCAGUGGCGAAGGCGGCCUCCUGGACCAUUCCUGACACUCAGACGCGAAAGCUAGGGUAGCAAACG
rnacentral:rRNA from 1 species